UCGGAAAAUGAAUCAUUCCUGUAUGUGUUUCUUUGUCAUACAUUCGUCACGGUGACAUUAUACACUGGACGGAGGUCUGAUAAGGGAUCGCUAAGGGAACUUCUUUAUUAUGUCAAG
rnacentral:precursor_RNA from 10 species